UGAGCCCAGCCGCCGCCCGGGGAGGUGUGGGCGAGCGCGCUGGAAGGAAACCGCGGCGGCCCGGCCCCUGGACGUGUCCGGGAAGGAACGCGGACUUUCUCUCAUUCCACAAGUCUUCCUUGUGUACACCCAGGAAGCCAGGCUUCACCGAUGACAAAGGGAAGACCCCGUUUGCUCCCCUUGUUCAGCCUCACUCCAUUCCUCAGGAAGUGAUCCCACAGGGCAAGCUUUGCCCUAUUCCAGCUUCAUAACCAAGAAUGAUUGAAAACAGGAGAAAGAAUUGCUGUCAAAGAUUAUACAGUACAAUGGAGUUGUACAGUGGGGCUCAAGAAUAUAAAUGUUAGCAGGUACAUGAAUACUUCUGUGACUGUUGGCUAUUAGAAACAAGACUGUAAAUUUCUGCCUU
rnacentral:lncRNA from 1 species